AGAGUUUGAUCCUGGCUCAGGACGAACGCUGGCGGCGCGCCUAACACAUGCAAGUCGAACGAGAGAGAGGGAGCUUGCUUCCUCGAUCGAGUGGCGAACGGGUGAGUAACGCGUGAGGAACCUGCCUCAAAGAGGGGGACAACAGUUGGAAACGACUGCUAAUACCGCAUAAGUCCACGGCUCGGCAUCGAGCAGAGGGAAAAGGAGCAAUCCGCUUUGAGAUGGCCUCGCGUCCGAUUAGCUAGUUGGUGAGGUAACGGCCCACCAAGGCGACGAUCGGUAGCCGGACUGAGAGGUUGAACGGCCACAUUGGGACUGAGACACGGCCCAGACUCCUACGGGAGGCAGCAGUGGGGAAUAUUGCACAAUGGGGGAAACCCUGAUGCAGCGACGCCGCGUGGAGGAAGAAGGUCUUCGGAUUGUAAACUCCUGUUGUUGAGGAAGAUAAUGACGGUACUCAACAAGGAAGUGACGGCUAACUACGUGCCAGCAGCCGCGGUAAAACGUAGGUCACAAGCGUUGUCCGGAAUUACUGGGUGUAAAGGGAGCGCAGGCGGGCGAUCAAGUUGGAAGUGAAAUCCAUGGGCUCAACCCAUGAACUGCUUUCAAAACUGAUUGUCUUGAGUAGUGCAGAGGUAGGCGGAAUUCCCGGUGUAGCGGUGGAAUGCGUAGAUAUCGGGAGGAACACCAGUGGCGAAGGCGGCCUACUGGGCACCAACUGACGCUGAGGCUCGAAAGUGUGGGUAGCAAACAGGAUUAGAUACCCUGGUAGUCCACACCGUAAACGAUGAUUACUAGGUGUUGGAGGAUUGACCCCUUCAGUGCCGCAGUUAACACAAUAAGUAAUCCACCUGGGGAGUACGACCGCAAGGUUGAAACUCAAAUGAAUUGACGGAAGGGCG
rnacentral:rRNA from 1 species